rnacentral:lncRNA from 1 species
AGCCCCAUCCCUUGGGCCCCCAGCUCCCCCCAGUUCACCGUCCUUGGGGCCCUCAUGUCCCACUCUGUCCCCUCCUCCUCCUCCUCCUCCUCGGCCCCAAACCCCCCUUGCUCUCCUCGUCUCCAUCCCCACCGUGCUCCCUGCGGGAUCAGGGCUCAGGUGAAACGGGCCAGAGGGGGACUGGGGGGAGCAGAGGGGAAUUUCCCCCUCAGAGCGGGGGCAGCCACGGCUCCUGGGGACCCCUGUGACCCCCUGAGCCCCACAAGGUCCAUUCCAGACUCAACCUCUGCUCUCCUUCCACAGGGAGGCAUCGUAGGAGGUAUAGGUGGCUGCAUUAAGAUCCACAAACCAAACGGCGUCCAACGAGUGAAGAGGUCUGAGCCUCCCGUGGCUGAGCAGGUGCAGCUUCUGCAGGAGUGAUGUCCGGCCGCCCCUCUGGACGCCCUGGCCUGGACCUGGAGGUGCCACCGAGCUCGUGAGCCCCUCCAGCGGCACGAGGAGAUGAUCAGCCCUGGAUAACGGCCCUGGUCCCCUGGGA